AUUGAACGCUGGCGGCAGGCUUAACACAUGCAAGUCGAGCGAGCGGCGGACGGGUGAGUAAUGUCUGGGAAACUGCCUGAUGGAGGGGGAUAACUACUGGAAACGGUAGCUAAUACCGCAUACCAUCAGAUGUGCCCCGAUGGGAUUAGCUAGUAGGUGGGGUAAUGGCUCACCUAGGCGACGAUCCCUAGCUGGUCUGAGAGGAUGACCAGCCACACGGGAACGGAGACACGGUCCAGCCUCCUACGGGAGGAAGCAGUGGGGAACAUUGCACAAUGGGCGAAAGCCUGAUGCAGCCCUGCCGCGGGUGUGAAGAAGGCCUUAGGGUUGUAAAGUACUUUCAGCGGGGAGGCGUUACCCGCAGAAGAAGCACCGGCUAACUCCGUGCCAGCAGCCGCGGUAAUUC
rnacentral:rRNA from 1 species